UACGUAGGGUGCGAGCGUUGUUCGGAAUUACUGGGCGUAAAGCGUGCGCAGGCGGCUUCUCAAGUCAGGGGUGAAAGCCCAGAGCUCAACUCUGGAAUUGCCUUUGAGACUGAGUGGCUUGAGUACGAGAGAGGUGAGUGGAAUUCCCAGUGUAGAGGUGAAAUUCGUAGAUAUUGGGAAGAACACCGGUGGCGAAGGCGGCUCACUGGCUCGUAACUGACGCUCAUGCACGACAGCGUGGGGAUCAAACAGG
rnacentral:rRNA from 1 species